rnacentral:lncRNA from 1 species
GGGAAACCCAUUUUUCUGCUUGUCUGGAGAAGCAAGACACAGGCAUGUGACAUCCAAAGCAGCACGCUAUGUUCUUGCCACAAACUUAUGGAAACAAUCAAUUCCAUUUGGUCUGUUCAGCUCCUAUUGCCUUGGAUUCUGACCUGGGCAAGCCAUGAGGACCCAAAUCAUUCAAAAACCUCCCUCAGAAGGGCUUCAGACUUGUCCUGAAACUAUACCAUGGCUCUUCUGGGUCUCCAGCUUGCCAACUGCAGAUCUUGAGACUUCUCAACCUCCAUAAUCAGAGUAAAAGUUGUUACAUAAGUGAUCUCAAUCUAAUAAUGUGCUGCAGUGGAAAAGCCUUAUGGAGCAAAUGUUAAAGAAACAGAGAGACAUCAUCAAGAUGGCUGACUAGAGGCAGCUGGCACUCAUCUCCUCCACCAAAAAGAAGGAAAACAGUCAGCAGAUAACCACAGGUUAAACAGAGCAUCUAAGAGGGAACAAUGGAAUUCAGCACAAAAGGGACAGGGACUCUCCAAGGCACAGAGAAAGAGGGAAGAUAAGCAGCAGUCUCAGCCGGGAUUGGCUCAGAGCCAGGAAAGGCUCCCCAUUGUAGGGAAAAGAAAGCGAAGUAUCCCGUGACUGAGCCUGUCGUCUGAUGCGUGUUGGUGAAGACCACAGGGAGCACUGGAGGUCAUUUAGUCAAGCCAUGGUAUUUACCAGGAGUCCAUCACUGGGUACAUGACACAGUCCUGUCUUAUGCAGGGACGGAGCAGAAGCAGUAAAAAACACAAUCGACUGUGCUCAAGGAACUUAAAAACCUCGUUUGUGAAAUAAGGUUGAUGUAUGAGGUCACACAGAACCAUGGAAAGAGCACUGGACCAGAAUCAGGAAAUCUAGAUUCUGGCUAAAAUCACUGCUUCAGACAGGUGCGAGGAAAAGAGCAGUGAAGAAAAACAAAACAAAAGUUCCUGCCUCCGUGGAGCUCAAGUUCUAGUUGAAUACACAGAUUUUUUAAAAAACCCAAUGAUAGAAAACUGUCACAUGUAGAUAAAUGCCAAGGAGAGAAACAAGGUCCUUACAGAGAAAAAAAGUUGUCAAGAAAGCUCUUUAGGAUGAGUUGACAUUUAAGCAAUGACCUGAAGGGACUGCUGAAAUGAACGUGUGUAUUUAUAGGCGAUAAAGGCUCAUAUCAGGAGAAAGAGCAAGUGCGAAGGCCCUACGCUAGGAAUGCCCGUGGUAACAGAGGAACAGCAAAGAGGCUAGUGUGACCAAAGCGGAGCAAGAAAGUAGGGGGCAAAACACGAGCUCAAAGACGGAGUGGGAUCACUUACGGCCCUACUGCCAUAUUUGGGUUUUGCUCUGAAGAAGAUAGAAAGCCACUGGAUUUUGAGCCAAGGCAUGAAGGAGUCUGACUUCUGCUUUAAAAGGAUCAUUCUGGCUGUUGUGUAGAGAAUGGGCUAUAAAAAGGUGAAUGGAAGUGGAGAAAAUGGUUAGGAAGUCACUGCUAUAGCCCAGGUGAUAGACAAUGGUGACUCGGAUGUCGGUAGCAGGAGAACUGGGUAGCACAGCCAACAGGCCUUACUUACUGCGGGACGGCUUGUGGGGAAUGAAAGGAGUCAGGAUAAUGCUCGAGUUUUUGGCCGAAGCAAGUGGAAGAUCAUAGCUACCAUUUAUUAAGAUGAGGAAGAAUUUAACAGGAACAAAUUUGGUUACAGGGAGUUGAGAGCAAGUCCAACAGUUCUGUUUUGGUUAAGUUAAAUUUGAAAUCCAAGCCAAGACUAAGAAUGAA